rnacentral:rRNA from 1 species
UACGUAGGGUGCGAGCGUUGUCCGGAAUUACUGGGCGUAAAGAGCUUGUAGGUGGUUUGUCGCGUUGUUCGUGAAAUCUCACGGCUUAACUGUGAGCGUGCGGGCGAUACGGGCAGACUAGAGUUCGGUAGGGGAGACUGGAAUUCCUGGUGUAGCGGUGAAAUGCGCAGAUAUCAGGAGGAACACCGGUGGCGAAGGCGGGUCUCUGGGCAACAACUGACGCUGAGGAGCGAAAGCGUGGGGAGCGAACAGG